GUUGUCGCGAUCGUUACAUCAACACCGCAAGACUCUCUAAAUAUGUUUAGUGUAUAUAGGUGGUCGUCGCUAUCGUUCAUAGACAUCGAAACCGUGGCUCUCAUAUCUUAUAGAGCGUAAGCGUACGGGCUAAAGCCAAUAAAGCACAGAUUGAAAACUUUAUUCUUCCGUCUUCAGAAUAAAUAACUCCAAAGAAAGAUUGUUGAUUACGAGACAAGGGAAAGCCAUCCAAGUACACUUUUCCUCUGCACAGAGAAUCUAUGGGAAGAAAAAAACUGAAAGUGGAUGGGUCCACCUAGAUCGAGAUCCAAUCGUUUCACACACGCGCGAAGCUUCAUCCGGGACCCAUCAUCUAGUUGUUUAGGUUUAAUUGUUUACUAGAUUUUGAUCCGCGCUUUGGAAGCGCGGAAUAUUUUAGGAUGAAAAAUUUCACUAAUAACUUAACAAAUAUUUUGGUAAUUUUUAGAGAGUGUGUAUUUAAAAUAAUUUUGCAUUUAAAUCAGUGUUUUUAAAUUCAACCCGAUUGUGAUUAUACCAGUUAAUCCGGAGA